rnacentral:ncRNA from 2 species
GUGUGUAUGGGCGAUGAGGCUCGCCCCAACCGCCCCACAUCCCAUGGGGAUGAUGGCCUCUUUUAUGAG